rnacentral:rRNA from 1 species
UACGGAGGGUGCAAACGUUGCUCGGAAUCAUUGGGCGUAAAGCGCACGUAGGCGGCACAGCAAGUUGGAUGUGAAAGCCCUCGGCUUAACCGAGGAAGUGCAUUCAAAACUACUGAGCUCGAGUACAAAAGAGGAUCGCGGAAUUCCCGGUGUAGAGGUGAAAUUCGUAGAUAUCUGGAGGAACACCGGUGGCGAAGGCGGCAUCCUGGACCAACACUGACGCUGAGGAGCGAAAGCCAGGGGAGCAAACGGG